rnacentral:rRNA from 1 species
GAACUGAAACAUCUAAGUACCCGGAGGAAGAGAAAUCAAACGAGAUGCCCACAGUAGCGGCGAGCGAAGAGGGCAGAGCCCAAACCGAGAAGCUCCGGCUUUUCGGGGUUGAGGACCGGCAGAAUCGAAGUCAGGCCUAGUUGAAUUACCUGGAAAGGUAAGCGAGAGAGGGUAAAAGCCCCGUAGACGAAAGGCAGAGCAGAGAGGCCGAGAUCCAGAGUACCACGAAGCACGAGGAAUUUUGUGGGAAGCAGGGGGGACCACCCUCCAAGGCUAAAAACUACUUGGCGACCGAUAGCGCAUAGUACCGUGAGGGAAAGGUGAAAAGAACCCCGGGAGGGGAGUGAAAUAGUACCUGAAACCGUAUGUCUACAAGCAGUCGAAGCGAAAGCGACGGCGUGCCUAUUGAAGAAUGAACCAACGAGUUAUCUGCACUAGCGAGGUUAAGUGGAAGACACGGAGCCGCAGCGAAAGCGAGUCUUAAGAGGGCGCUAGUUAGUGUAGGUAGACCCGAAACCGCAGUGAUCUACCCAUGUCCAGGUUGAAGCGCAGGUAAAAUUGCGUGGAGGACCGAACCGGUGAGCGUUGAAAAGCUUUCGGAUGAGAUGUGGGUAGGGGUGAAAUUCCAAUCGAACGCGGAGAUAGCUGGUUCUCCCCGAAAUAGCUUUAGGGCUAGCCUGAGGUAGUAAGUAUAGGCGGUAGAGCACUGAUCGGGCUAGGGGCCGUAAAGGUUACCGAACCCUGUCAAACUCCGAAUGGAUAUACUGUAGAGCCUUGGAGUCAGACUACGAGUGAUAAGAUCCGUGGUCAAAAGGGAAACAGCCCAGACCACCAGCUAAGGUCCCCAAUGUCGUACUAAGUGGAAAAGGAUGUGGGGUUUCAUAAACAACCAGGAUGUUGGCUCAGAAGCAGCCAUCAUUUAAAGAGUGCGUAAUAGCUCACUGGUCGAGAGACCCUGCGCCGAAGAUUCCCGGGGCUAAAGUACGAAACCGAAGCUGUGGCUGUAUACGUAAAGUAUACGGGGUAGGGGAGCGUUCCCAUAGGGUAGAAGUCGAACUGGAAGGUUCGGUGGACUUGUGGGAAGUGAGAAUGUUGGUAUGAGUAGCGAAAAGAAAGGUGAGAAUCCUUUCCACCGAAAGCAUAAGGAUUCCUGAGCAACGAUCGUCGUCUCAGGGUAAGUCGGGACCUAAUCCGAGGCAGAGAGCGUAGGAGAUGGACAACUGGUUGAUAUUCCAGUACCGGUAGUAAUUGUUUGAGCAAUGGAGUGACACAGAAGGGCAGGCAAGCAUGCGAAUGGAAGAGCAUGUGUAAGCGUGUAGGGUGGUGCAUAGGCAAAUCCGUGCACUGAAAGCCUGAGGCGUGAUGCGGAGUGAGCAGAGAUGCGAGCGAAGUUGUUGACCCCACACUGUCGAGAAAAGCUUCUAGUGAGAGAGCUACCGCCCGUACCGUAAACCGACACAGGUAUGCGGGGAGAGAAUCCUAAGGUGCGCGGGAGAACCCUCGUUAAGGAACUCGGCAAAAUGUACCCGUAACUUCGGGAUAAGGGUAGCCACUGUUGUGAAGUCCCAUGCGGAUGGAGCAUAGAGUGGUCGCAGAGAAGAGGCCCAAGCGACUGUUUACCAUAAACACAGGUGCCUGCUAAAGCGAAAGCUGACGUAUAGGUGCUGACACCUGCCCAGUGCCGGAAGGUUAAGGAAGGAUGUUCGGAUUAGUCCAAAGCAUUCGACUGAAGCCCCGGUGAACGGCGGCCGUAACUAUAACGGUCCUAAGGUAGCGAAAUUCCUUGUCGGGUAAGUUCCGACCCGCACGAAAGGUGUAACGAUUUGGGCACUGUCUCAACGAGGGACCCGGUGAAAUUGAAAUACCUGUGAAGAUGCAGGUUACCCGCGACUGGACAGAAAGACCCCAUGGAGCUUUACUGUAACCUGACAUUGGGUUUUGAUACAUUACGUACAGGAUAGGUGGGAGGCUUGGAAAGUUGGACGCUAGUCUGACUGGAGCCGACGUUGGGAUACCACCCUUGAUGUAUUGAAAUUCUAACCGCGAGAGUAACGAAAUCCGGGACAGUGUCAGGCGGGCAGUUUGACUGGGGCGGUCGCCUC